AUUGAACGCUGGCGGCAUGCUUUACACAUGCAAGUCGAACGGUAACAGGCCGCAAGGUGCUGGCGAGUGGCGAACGGGUGAGUAAUGCAUCGGAACGUGCCCAGUCGUGGGGGAUAACGCAGCGAAAGCUGUGCUAAUACCGCAUACGAUCUAUGGAUGAAAGCGGGGGACCGUAAGGCCUCGCGCGAUUGGAGCGGCCGAUGUCUGAUUAGGUAGUUGGUGGGGUAAAGGCCUACCAAGCCGACGAUCUGUAGCUGGUCUGAGAGGACGACCAGCCACACUGGGACUGAGACACGGCCCAGACCCCUACGGGAGGCAGCAGUGGGGAAUUUUGGACAAUGGGCGCAAGCCUGAUCCAGCAAUGCCGCGUGCAGGAAGAAGGCCUUCGGGUUGUAAACUGCUUUUGUACGGAACGAAACGGUCCGGGUUAAUACCCUGGGCUAAUGACGGUACCGUAAGAAUAAGCACCGGCUAACUACGUGCCAGCCGCCGCGGUAAUAC
rnacentral:rRNA from 1 species